rnacentral:rRNA from 1 species
UACAGAGGGUGCAAGCGUUAAUCGGAAUUACUGGGCGUAAAGCGCGCGUAGGUGGUUCGUUACGUUGGAUGUGAAAUCCCCGGGCUCAACCUGGGAACUGCAUCCAAAACUGGCGAGCUAGAGUAUGGUAGAGGGUGGUGGAAUUUCCUGUGUAGCGGUGAAAUGCGUAGAUAUAGGAAGGAACACCAGUGGCGAAGGCGACCACCUGGACUGAUACUGACACUGAGGUGCGAAAGCUAGGGGAGCAAACGGG